CUGACACAGGGAGGUAGUGACAAGAAAUAACAAUACAGGGCUACUUCUAGUCUUGUAAUUGGAAUGAGUACAACUUACAUCUCUUCACGAGGAUCAAUUGGAGGGCAAGUCUGGUGCCAGCAGCCGCGGUAAUUCCAGCUCCAAUAGCGUAUAUUAAAGUUGUUGCAGUUAAAAAGCUCGUAGUCGGAUUUCGGGGCGGGGCGAGCGGUCUGCCGAUGGGUAUGCACUGUUCGGCGCGUCCUUCUUUCCGGAGACCGGUCCUACUCUUAGCUGAGCGGGGUCGGGAGACGGAAUAUUUACUUUGAAAAAUCAGAGUGUUUAACGCGGGCAUCUCGCUUUUGAAUGGAUUAGCAUGGGAUAAUGAAAUAGGACUCGGGUGCUAUUUUGUUGGUUUCGAAAACCGGAGUAAUGAUUAAAAGGGACAGUCAGGGGCACUAGUAUUCUGUUGAGAGAGGUGAAAUUCUCAGACCAAUGGAAGACGAACCACUGCGAAAGCAUUUGCCAGGGAUG
rnacentral:rRNA from 1 species